UCCGGGUUGACCCCGGCAGUCUCCUAUGAGUCCCCACCAUAACGUGCUGGCAACAUAGGACGAGGGUUGCGCUCGUUGCGGGACUUAACCCAACAUCUCACGACACGAGCUGACGACACGUCAUCCCCACCUGUCUCCGCGCCCCCGAAGGGAACCCCUGCUUUCACAGGGUAGCGCGGGAUGUCAAGCCCAGGUAAGGUUUUUCGCGUAGCAUCGAAUUAAACCACAUACUCCACCGCUUGUGCGGGCCCCCGUCAAUUUCUUUGAGUUUUAAUCUUGCGACCGUACUUCCCAGGCGGAUCACUUAACGCGUUAGCUACGACACCAAAAAGAUUAGGCUUUCUGACGUCUAGUGAUCAUCGUUUAGGGCGUGGACUAC
rnacentral:misc_RNA from 1 species